ACGAACGCUGGCGGCGUGCCUAAUACAUGCAAGUCGAACGCUUCUUUCCUCCCGAGUGCUUGCACUCAAUUGGAAAGAGGAGUGGCGGACGGGUGAGUAACACGUGGGUAACCUACCCAUCAGAGGGGGAUAACACUUGGAAACAGGUGCUAAUACCGCAUAACAGUUUAUGCCGCAUGGCAUAAGAGUGAAGGGCGCUUUCGGGUGUCGCUGAUGGAUGGACCCGCGGUGCAUUAGCUAGUUGGUGAGGUAACGGCUCACCAAGGCCACGAUGCAUAGCCGACCUGGGGGGGUGGUCGGCCCAACUGGGACUGAGACACGGCCCAGACUCCUACGGGAGGCAGCAGUAGGGAAUCUUCGGCAAUGGACGAAAGUCUGACCGAGCAACGCCGCGUGAGUGAAGAAGGUUUUCGGAUCGUAAAACUCUGUUGUUAGAGAAGAACAAGGACGUUAGUAACUGAACGUCCCCUGACGGUAUCUAACCAGAAAGCCACGGCUAACUACGUG
rnacentral:rRNA from 1 species